GCUGCUAUCAGGUCACCUCAGAGCCAUCUCUACUCCAUGCUGAACAGCCCCAGUUCUCUCAGCCUGUCCUUGUAGGAGAGGUGUUCCAUCCUUUGGAUAACUUUUGUGACCCUCCUCUGGACAUACUGCAACAGAUCUGUGUCUCUCCUGUACUGAGGACUCCGCAUCUGGACUCAGUACUCCAAGUGAGACCUCACCAGCACAGAGCUUCCAUUGCAGGGUGCCUGCAUCCAUACUGCCUAUUGAGAAUGAUCCCUGAUGCAUGCUAAC
rnacentral:lncRNA from 1 species